UCAAAAAUCUAUUUGGGGGCUUGCUUUCUCUUUUUUGCUUUUUAAUAAAGAAACCCCAUUCCUUCCUUGUAGUAUACAAGGAGUUAGCCUUCAUUCUCCAUCCUAGCCUGACCAGAUUUUCCAUGUUGUUUUGUUCAAAUAGAUAAUUAUAUGUCCUUUGUGUGUUGGAACUUGUCCCUGUCUUUUGGGAAACUUGGUCUUACUAUUUCUGUGGUGGCUGUUUUGUUUUGUUUUUGUAUGUGAAUGUUUGAAACUAUGGUGCUGUGUCCACUUUCCUCCUAUUGUGUUCUUUAUUCUUGUUAAGGUGUUAGGUAAGCUGUAUGGAAAUGUUUAUUAGAAGGGGACUAAUUAUUUUUAAAAGAAAAAAAAAACCUAAAAGUAGUGUUUGGUCUUCACUAUUCUGUGUCCCUUAUUUUGGUUAAAAAUCUGUGGUUUGACUUAAUUCAUCAGUUUUCUUUUUCAAAGGGAGGAGCAAGGUGGGCCUAGAGAACAGUUUAUAAUCUCCUUUUUCCUUUAUGCCCCAAUCUCUUUUGAAGAAAUGUCUUCUAGUAACUAGAAGUGAAAUGUACUGUCCAGUUACAGUUUGAGUGGGUAUGAGAUUUAACUCAAAAGGCAUCUUACUUAAAAAAAAAAAAAAAAAAAAAAAAGCAAAAGCUUUUCUAUAAAACCCAGUUUCCAUAAAUGCUUUCUGUAUGGUUCAGACUACCUAAUUUUUAGUCCUUCUUCCCUUAAUAUUAUAAAACAUUUUUAGUGUUUUGACCUGUUAAGAGGUUCAUAAGCGUUGCUGUGCAUGAUCUCAUCUUAAGUGUGUAUAUGAUUUAAGAUUUCAGUGGAUAUUGCAAGGUAACUAUCAACCAAUUUCAUAAGUUUUCAUUUUGCCAAUCUAUAUAAAGAAACUCUUAUUCAGUUAAGAAUUUCAUCUGGUUGAUGUUAUAAAAGGAGGCACAAUAUUUUUUGUCUUUUCAUCUUCUCUGUAAAGAUCUUCAGAUACAUGUGGGUUAAAAAUUGAAUGCAGUUUUAAGUGAUGGCUGCCUGGGUGGAAUACAUUUUUUAAAUAUUUUAUUUUUUCUUCCUAGUCACCCAUUAACUUUAUUCAGCCAUCAGUGGAAGGGCAUGAAUAUGCUGAGACAGAUGGCUAAGGUACUCUGCUUCCUAGAGUAUGGUGGAUGAAUAUAGGUGACUGUUUAGGGAAUCACUCAUGUCCUUAAUAUGGUAUUUUACCUGCUGGAGAUGUGAGAGAAAGAGAUGCAAGGCACUCUCCAGCCAUGAGUAGCUCCCUGUUUACCUUCUGGUAUUUUGAAACUUAUAUUGUUUAGUUGAUACUAUGGGCUUUUCUGUAUUUAUUUGAAAGUCACAGAGGAUUUGGUCUGACUUGACCAUAGAUUUAGACCAAGGCUGAGAAGAACAGAUAAGAGAAAUUAGUUUUAAAAAAAGAAAGAAAGAAAAAUGAACAUAAACAAGGUUAUAAUUUUGGAAUUAAUGAACUAAGAUUCAUCUAUUUAAAGAUAUGCUGGUGUUCUGAUAUAAUAUAAAACAUUGUUUUCAGUUAGAGGAAAUUACUUCCAACGUACUCCAUUUUUCAAUGUUAUAAUAUUUCAUAUUAAAACUUGAUUUAAAAUGUUCCUUUACCCUUCUCUCCACAGUUGUACAUUUCCACCAUUGGUAUUUUAACUUCUGUGUUCACUCUGUCAAAAGUAUUUCUUACUACCUUCAUCAUAACUGUGUUGGGGAAAGUUAUAGAAAGAAAAAUGAAAAAAUGCUAUCUAUGUAGGUCUUUAAUAUUCUCAAAGGGUAGGUCAAUGGAACUAUGCAAAUUCCCAAGUUUACAACUAUAGCAUUAGAGUUCACUUUCUUGUUGGCAGAAGAGGGGACAUUUUCUUCCCACAAAUGUUUAUUUUACUUCCUGA
rnacentral:lncRNA from 1 species